GACAUGGGUGGCAAACGUUAUCCGGAAUUAUUGGGCGUAAAGGGUGCGUAGGUGGUUUAAUAAGUUAUUGGUGGGAAAACGGGGCUCAACCCCAUGGAAGCUAGUAAUACUAUUGAACUAGAGGAUCGGAGAGGUUAACGGAAUGGCUCGCGUAGGGGUAAAAUCCGUAAAUACGAGUUGGAACACCAAAAGGCGAAGGCAGUUAACUAUUCGAUUCCUGACAUUGAGGCACGAAAGCGUGGGGAGCAAGACGG
rnacentral:rRNA from 1 species